rnacentral:snoRNA from 1 species
UAGAUCAUACUUCUAGGAAUCAGUCCUAUAGUACGUAUCACCAGGAUGUCAAACAAACUUGAUCCUAGCUAACCUUUGCGCUCCCUGACCGUGCACAUCAUCCGGGGU